rnacentral:rRNA from 1 species
UCGAGGGGCAGCAUUUCAGUUUGCUUGCAAACUGGAGAUGGCGACCGGCGCACGGGUGAGUAACACGUAUCCAACCUGCCGAUAACUCGGGGAUAGCCUUUCGAAAGAAAGAUUAAUACCCGAUGGUAUAAUUAGACCGCAUGGUCUUGUUAUUAAAGAAUUUCGGUUAUCGAUGGGGAUGCGUUCCAUUAGGCAGUUGGUGAGGUAACGGCUCACCAAACCUUCGAUGGAUAGGGGUUCUGAGAGGAAGGUCCCCCACAUUGGAACUGAGACACGGUCCAAACUCCUACGGGAGGCAGCAGUGAGGAAUAUUGGUCAAUGGGCGCAGGCCUGAACCAGCCAAGUAGCGUGAAGGAUGACUGCCCUAUGGGUUGUAAACUUCUUUUAUAUGGGAAUAAAGUUUUCCACGUGUGGAAUUUUGUAUGUACCAUAUGAAUAAGGAUCGGCUAACUCCGUGCCAGCAGCCGCGGUAAUACGGAGGAUCCGAGCGUUAUCCGGAUUUAUUGGGUUUAAAGGGAGCGUAGGUGGACAGUUAAGUCAGUUGUGAAAGUUUGCGGCUCAACCGUAAAAUUGCAGUUGAUACUGGCUGUCUUG